AUACUUACCUGGCAGGGGAGAUGCCAUGAUGAUGAAGGUGGUUUUCCCUGGGCGAGGCUGAUCCAUCGCACCCCGGGUGUGCCGACCCCUGGCGAUGUCUCCAAAUGUGGGAAACUCGACCGCACAAUUUGGGAUAGUGGGGGACUAUGUUUGCGCUCUCCCCUG